CCUACGGGUGGCAGCAGUGGGGGAUAUUGGACAAUGGGGGAAACCCUGAUCCAGCGACGCCGCGUGAGUGAAGAAGUAUUUCGGUAUGUAAAGCUCUAUCAGCAGGGAAGAACGAAAUGUCGGUACCUGAGUAAGAAGCCCCGGCUAACUACGUGCCAGCAGCCGCGGUAAUACGUAGGGGGCAAGCGUUAUCCGGAAUUACUGGGCGUAAAGGGAGCGUAGACGGUAAUGCAAGUCUGGAGUGAAAGGCGGGGGCCCACCCCCCGGACUGCUCUUGAAACUGGGUAACUGGAGUGCAGGAGAGGCAGGUGGAAUUCCAGGUGUAGCGGUGAAAUGCGUAGAUAUUAGGAGGAACACCAGUGGCGAAGGCGGCCAUCUGGAACGUAACUGACGUUGAGGCUCGAAAGCGUGGGGAGCAAACAGGAUUAGAUACCCCGGUAGUC
rnacentral:rRNA from 1 species